GAGGGAGUACCUUCCUUCCUCCUCCCUACCACACCGCUGUCCGAGCACACCGCCUGAAAAAAAGGGCAUUGGUUUUGUUAUGUGCUCAUAGUAGUAGAUCAAUUCAUGUGCAUGUAGGAAUUAAUGAUUCAUUUGUUGAUUGUUGAUGCAUUAUGCUUUUUGUUUGUAAAAUUGUUGAAUUAUUAGAAGAGGAACGAAGGCAUGAGAUAUUUUAAAAAUAUUAUUAUCCUUUUAGCUAUUUAUACUUGCGUACCAAAUUGAUUUUCAAACUUUACAAUUAUUUAUUGGAUGUACCAAAUUGUAAAUUAGAGUAUUGUCUUGGCAUACCAUAUGUUAAAAUCCUACGUCCGUGUGGCAUAUUCGGUUGGUUUCAAUCUAGAUAAACUAUUUAUUAAAAUACUGCUUCCAUUGUACUUUACGAACUAGUCCACUUACAUGACUCUUAAGUGCU
rnacentral:lncRNA from 1 species